rnacentral:rRNA from 1 species
GAUGAACGCUGGCGGCGUGCUUAAUACAUGCAAGUCGAGCGAAAAGACGAGUAUCUUGUUCCUCACACGUUAGCGGCGCGCGGGUGCGUAACCUGUGGAUAACCUCCCUAUCUGACAGGGACAACUACGAGACCCCGGACCUAAUACCGGAUGAUAUAAUGCACCGCAUGGUUGACUAGUGACUGACGGUUUUGCUGUCACUUCUAGAUGUUACCGAGCCGCAUUAGCUAGUUGGUAAGGAAACGGCUAACCAAGGCACCGAUGCGUAGACGACCUGAGAGGGGGAUCGGCGACAGUGGGAGUGAGACACGGGCCAGACUCCUACGGGAGGCAGCAGUAGGGUAUCGUCGGCAGUGGGCGAGAGCAUUACGCAGCAACGCCGCGUGGGUGAUGAAGGCCUUGGGAUCGGAAAACUCUGUUACUAGGGGUGAACAACUGUGUAAGUAACAGAAGACGUAUUGACGGUACCUGGUCAAAAAGCAACGGCUAACUACGUG